rnacentral:lncRNA from 11 species
AAAAUGUAACAGCUGGGUCCUUGCCGUUACAGGCAUCCAGCCAAGCCAAACAAGCUGGAUUGGCCAAAGGGUGCCACCAACUACAACACACUCCCUUUUGGGCAAAGAUUAUUGAGAGAGUUGUAGCAAUGCAUUAUUUAG